GAUGAACGCUGGCGGCGUGCCUAAUACAUGCAAGUCGAGCGAACAGACGAGGAGCUUGCUCCUCUGACGUUAGCGGCGGACGGGUGAGUAACACGUGGAUAACCUACCUAUAAGACUGGGAUAACUUCGGGAAACUGGAGCUAAUACCGGAUAAUAUAUUGAACCGCAUGGUUCAAUAGUGAAAGACGGUUUUGCUGUCACUUAUAGAUGGAUCCGCGCCGCAUUAGCUAGUUGGUAAGGUAACGGCUUACCAAGGCGACGAUGCGUAGCCGACCUGAGAGGGUGAUCGGCCACACUGGAACUGAGACACGGUCCAGACUCCUACGGGAGGCAGCAGUAGGGAAUCUUCCGCAAUGGGCGAAAGCCUGACGGAGCAACGCCGCGUGAGUGAUGAAGGUCUUCGGAUCGUAAAACUCUGUUAUUAGGGAAGAACAAAUGUGUAAGUAACUAUGCACGUCUUGACGGUACCUAAUCAGAAAGCCACGGCUAACUACGU
rnacentral:rRNA from 1 species